rnacentral:rRNA from 1 species
GUGCCAGCAGCCGCGGUAAUACGGAGGGUGCAAACGUUGCUCGGAAUCAUUGGGCGUAAAGCGCACGUAGGUGGCUUGUUAAGUCGGGUGUGAAAUCCCUGGGCUCAACCCAGGAAGUGCACUCGAAACUGGCGAGCUUGAGUACUGAAGAGGGUCGCGGAAUUCCCGGUGUAGAGGUGAAAUUCGUAGAUAUCGGGAGGAACACCAGUGGCGAAGGCGGCGACCUGGGCAGAUACUGACACUGAGGUGCGAAAGCGUGGGGAGCAAACAGGAUUAGAAACCCUAGUAGUCC